rnacentral:rRNA from 1 species
UACGUAGGGCGCAAGCGUUAUCCGGAAUUAUUGGGCGUAAAGAGCUCGUAGGCGGUUUGUCGCGUCUGCUGUGAAAGACCGGGGCUCAACUCCGGUUCUGCAGUGGGUACGGGCAGACUAGAGUGAUGUAGGGGGAGACUGGAAUUCCUGGUGUAGCGGUGAAAUGCGCAGAUAUCAGGAGGAACACCGAUGGCGAAGGCAGGUCUCUGGGCAUUAACUGACGCUGAGGAGCGAAAGCAUGGGGAGCGAACAGG